rnacentral:rRNA from 1 species
GAUGAACGCUGGCGGCGUGCCUAAUACAUGCAAGUCGAGCGAAUUGACAGAGGUGCUUGCACCUCUCGAUUUUAGCGGCGGACGGGUGAGUAACACGUGGGCAACCUACCUAUAAGACUGGGAUAACUUCGGGAAACCGGAGCUAAUACCGGAUAAUAUUUAGCUUCGCAUGAAGCAAUAGUGAAAGACGGUUCUGCUGUCACUUAUAGAUGGACCUGCGGUGUAUUAGCUAGUUGGUGAGGUAACGGCUCACCAAGGCAACGAUACAUAGCCGACCUGAGAGGGUGAUCGGCCACGCUGGGACUGAGACACGGCACAGACUCCUACGGGAGGCAGCAGUAGGGAAUCUUCCGAAAUGGACGAAAGUCUGACGGAGCAACGCCGCGUGAGUGAAGAAGGUUUUCGGAUCGUAAAACUCUGUUGUAAGGGAAGAACAAGUACGUUAGUAACUGAACGUACCUUGACGGUACCUUACCAGAAAGCCACGGCUAACUACGUGCCAGCCGCCGCGGUAAUAC